rnacentral:snRNA from 1 species
AUCCCCAUCUUAGCCUUUUGGCUAAGAUCAAGUGUAAUAUCUGUUCUUAUCAGUUUAAAUACAUUUAUCCUUAAGGAUAAGCUAAAAGCUAAGUUUCCAUAAGUCGUGUCAAUGCAU